GACGAACGCUGGCGGCGUGCCUAAUACAUGCAAGUCGAACGAGUGGAGGACUGGUGAUUAACGUAUGGGGAUCUGCCAGAGGCAGGGGGAUAACUACUGGAAACGGUAGCUAAUACGGCAUACCGUCCGAUGUACCCAUAUGGGAUUAGCUUGUAGGUAAGGUAACGGCUUACCUAGGCGACGAUCCCUAGCUGGUCUGAGAGGAUGAUCAGCCACACUGGGACUGAGACACGGCCCAGACUCCUACGGGAGGCAGCAGUGGGGAAUAUUGCACAAUGGGCGAAAGCCUGAUGCAGCCAUGCCGCGUGUAUGAAGAAGGCCUUCGGGUUGUAAAGUACUUUCAGUCGGGAGGCGUUACCGACAGAAGAAGCACCGGCUAACUCCGUGCCAGCAGCCGCGGUAAUAC
rnacentral:rRNA from 1 species